rnacentral:lncRNA from 1 species
AGGAGGGAGAGAGAGAGAGGGAAAUGUCACCCGGAGCCCGGGCCCGCGGGGGAGAGGUGGCGCGUUAGAGAUGUGUGUGGGAGAGAGGGAGCGAGAGAGAGAGAGAGAGAGAGAGGGGGAGCGAGACCUCCGCUGGCCCCGCGAACUUGUCAAGCAGAAGAGUGACCAAGUGGUCUUCUCCACAGCAGCCAUGAACUUCAACCUUGAACUGAAGAAGACUCAUCAAAUGCCUUAGGAAAGACAGUAUGGAGCUGGAAGAGAAGCAGGGAUCUUCAUGAAGGGCAGUCAGUUAUAGUUAUGGUGUGUGGAGGAACAGGUCCUGUUCUUGCUGUUGUUACUCCCACAUAGGCAGACUCUGUAAUUGAUUAUGUGUGGGUAGGGCCCUAUUGAAAUUCAGGAGAUUCUGCAGUAGUGUGGGGUUCUUAUUGUGAAAGUUCAGUUGCAAGAUCAGGACCCUACUGUGACUACUUACUGUGCGUUCUGUCACUGUCUCAUUGAUUGUACUGGAACCUGCCUAUUGGGAUAAUUACCAAAUACUAUAUUCCUCAAAACUUCUUAAUGGCACUGAGGCUUUGUGGAUAGUUGGUCACAUGAUGAGAAAAUUCAGCUGUGAUUCACCAUGGGACCCUGAAGUUCUUCCUUACUGCAAUUAGGUUUACUUUGCCUGUAGUGAUGAACUACUGUGAUAGUUUGAUUUUUAUGAUUUGUAUGAAGCAUGAAGCUUUCAAAGCCAUGUGUCAAAGACACUCGAGCCAGUGAAGGCAGUGGGCGUGCAGGCAGCUACGGCAGCCCGGAGAUCUCCCCUCUCUCCCGCUCUCCUCUGAACGCUGCCGCUAACACGCUGGCAGUGCUGGUGAUCCGGCUCCAGCUGCUGCUGCUACUGCUGGUCAAGUGAGUGGCUCAGCAAUGAUGUAUGACACUACAAAAACUGUUGUGUUUUCCUUCUCGAAAGAUCGCAGACUACUCAUUUUCUCCGGGGUUCAUGGAGGUGGCAAGGAUGGACUCCCAAGGCAUGGCUGCAAUGGUUGUUUGAAAUAAGAAACAGAUACCCUUGGUGUCAUGCAUCUCUGAUCACUGGGAAUCGGAGCUUGAAGGAAGGUGGAAGAAAACUCCUACAGAGAGUAUGAGGAAUCGUUUGUCUUGUAAGGGGGGUAUAAUGGCAUUUUUAAAGCUUUUACCAAAUAUCAGGACAUGUGAUAGGAGUUUAUGGACUGGGAAUUACAUGAAAGAUUGUGAAAUGGGGAAGAAUUCACAUUAUGGAAAGUGCUGGAGAACUACAACCUAAGCACUCUGAAAUUUGUGACCAGGCCCACAGAAUGUCUUCAUAUGAUGGAACUAUCUCAGAUGACUGUUGGUUAAAAAUAUAAUUUGCAAGCCCCUGCACCCUUCCCCAGAUAGACUGGGAAAAUACAUUCCUUUUAUUAAUAUUACUUCAGGAGACUGGACGGUAUUCUGAGCAGUGAAACAUACAGUUUAUGUCUUGCUACAGAAUUCAGAUUAAAGAAAAAAAAGGCAGUGCUAAUUUGUACCUGGGAGUUGGUAUCUGUUUUAAAAAAUGUUGUUCUAAAGAUAAUUUUUUUUACAUUUUUAUAUGUAUUAAGUAACACAUCCAUAUGAUAAAACAUGAAGUGUAUAAUUAAAACAAUGUAUAUAAUUAUAUAAUUAUGUAAAUACUACCAAAAUCAUAUGUGUAAGUAUUAAAUAAACUGUUUCAUUUCUAGAGGUUACAGAAAACACUUUAGGAUGUUAUACAGUCUUUCCACCUCUUCCCCCAAUAGUUUUUAAUAUAAUUGCAGUUUUAGAGCUAAUCCAUAUAUUAACAUUUUAACAUUUGCAGUUGUGUUAAAUUUUACUAAGGAACAAUUUAGUUUGGGGAAACCGUUGAAUCUGUGGUUUGUGUUGUUUGAACAAGAAGUCCCUGAGUAUUUUUCCCAAAUGCCACUAUUUUUUCUACACUGGCAGCUGUAUAUUUGUGGUCACCUGAUGGCAAUGCAUGCAAAGACCCUGUGCAGCAGCAGUGCCUCUCCCAGGAAAUACCAGGAGGGAAACUGUAAGUAACCAAAGCACACAGAAUUAGCUCUUCUUGGUGGCGGUCUCAUGUAGGCAGCACUUGAAUGACACUUUAUAUUUCUGGAUAAGGUGAAGGUAAGAGAUAGAAACCAUUUUCUUCUGUUCCAUGGACUGGGCUGGAAAGAACAACUCUUCUGAGACACAGCUUUACACAGAACAUGAGCAGAGUGGUGUCAUCAGCAAUUCUGAAAAUGUGUUUACAAUGGCUGGGGAAAAUAUUUAGUCAGCAUUUAAAUAUCUUAGCUCAUACACAAAUUUUAGAUGUCUACUGCACUUAACAGUUCCAAUAACUGGUUUCAUUAAGGUUUUUAGUGAUACAAAUUAAUAACAAAAGUCAGUUAAUACAGAGUGCAGUUAUGAGACCAAACCACAUGUGUUUUAAAUUUAAGGAGUUAAAUGUUAGCAUCUCCCUAUAGAGAAAGGUUAUUUGGGUGGUGGUAUACUGACAUUAUCACCACCCACAGAGAAGGGGACCUCUUGAUCAUACUGGUUAAGCAGAAAUUAAAAAAAGGAAAACUGUAGGUCUAGAGGGUUUGCUUGGUGUAAGUGAAUCACACAGGAAAAAUGCUGAUACCCAGGGUUGUUGUAGUGACUUUCUUUGAUGGCUAGAAAGAGAAAUAAGCACAGGAUAUUUUUGUCAAGUUAGAGGGUUUAGAUUGCUUCUUGCUAGGUAAAAUUUAUCUUAGUUAUUAAUAUAGUGGAAAGUUAAAUGAUGAUAAUGGAAAUAUGAUAAUAAGUGCUGUUGGAAAAUGGACAGAAAUUAUUUUCUUUGUCCAUUUAAAUAUUCCAAUGUGUUAAUAGUUGGGCUGAAGGGCUGCUAAGAACAUGAAUGUGGAAAAUAAAGGAAAGCUUCUGUUCAUGAAGAUGUUUCUGGACACUGCCAUACUGUUUCUGGCAAAUCAUAUCUGAUAAGAUACAGGUUAAAAAGUAUCAUUCAUUUAGCAGAAAAUAGUGCUAUCUGUAUGUCUGGAUUUCUGUUUGAGAAAGCCUUUAUUAUAAUCUUACUGGACCUAGCUAGAAAAAAAAAUCUAAUAAUAAUAAUAAGUUACUAAUUUGCCACUACUUAAUGUUAAUUCAAUCUGACAACUCUGCCUAUAAGCUUCUUCUAUUAUUCCUGGAAGAAAAUGACAUAAAAUUGGAUGGGUUUGGGUAGUUUCAUACAGAAUGGAACUGCACAGAAAAGCCAGGUAUCAGCAUCAUGCAUAUAGGGAGAUCUUGUCUCUGACCCUCAGCUAGUCAGUUUUGAAAUUUUCUAUGUGAGAUACAGUUUCAACAUGAAAAGUCAAAAUAUAGUGGUUUACAAUCACUUUUGCUUUGUUUGAAGCUAAAACUCAAAACAAAACUCCUGGAGUAUAGAACUGUAUGAAGGAAAAUACAAGAAAGUUAACACAUAAACUCUGCAAACUGAGCAAGCUAGUUUCACUCAGCUCUUGAAAUAACCCCUUUCUGCAAGUUCACUUUUCAAUUGCACAUAUGAGAGAUGUCAAAAAUGAGUUGGUUUCACAACCCCAUGGCACAGAUAAACAGUACAGCUUUAAAGCUUCACCUUCUGUUCGAACAAGGUCUUGCUCUCAUUCUCUGUCUUGGCUUAUACCUUUGACAUCUGCCAGGAGAUGAAAUUUUCUCAGUUCUAGGCUAGUUGCAUUGAGCUUUUGUUCGUCUGUAGAACACGAAAUUUGUGGUAAGACCUAAAUUCAGCCUGUUUUUCACAGUUGUAUCCAGCACUGAGAACUCAUUUCCCAAAUCUUUAUCAAUGCUCUAAAUGGCUCCUAGUCCUAAAAUGAGAGUAGACACUUCACCACUUGGAGGUCAUGCAAGCAUUCAUGUGCUUUAAGUUAGAAACCUGGUAUUUCAGGGGUACUGAACACCUGCUGCUCUUCCUAACUUGUAUAGGAGCUGCAGGAACUCAUGCCCUUGUGAAGAUCAUACUCCUCAUCUCAAGGGGUCUGCUUUUAUUCACAGUGGGGCAGUGAGCAUUCCUCUGCUCUGUUAUCGGCUUUUGUAAAGUUUUAGUGAAGCACAACAAACUGAUGCUGCACUGAUAUUGAAGUGGUUUCAGCUGGUUGGUGCAGUGCUCUGUUUUGGAUUCAGUAUGAGAAUUAUGUUGAUAACAUAGUGAUGUUUUAGUUGUUGCUAAGUAGUGCUUACUCUGAAGGACUUUCACUGUGUCAUGCUCUGCCAGUGAGCAAGUGCACAAGAAUCUCGAGGGAGCAUGUCCAGGACUGUUGAUCUGAAGUAGCCAAAGGUAUAUUCCAUACCACAGAAUGUCAUGCCCAGGAUAUAAAACUGCUGCAGUUUGGUCAGGAGCUGCUAUCAGUUCUUGGGGGUGGGCUGAGCAGUGUGUGGUGAACAAAUAUAUUGAGCAUCACUUGUUUCUGUUGCGUUUUAUUUGCACACCCCCUAGAUCCUCAAUGUAUUUUCAUUGCAAUUGUUAUUAUCUUAAUAUUUUCUUUUGUUUCAAUCAUUGCUCAUCUCAACACAAGAGGUUUACUUUUUCUUCUAAUUCCCAUCAGUGCAGGUGGGGAAGUGAGCAAGUGGCUGUGUGGUACUUGAUUGCCAUCUGGGGUUAAACUGUGAGAGACACAGACACUUUCAACAGAGCAUUGCUGAGUACUUAUGAGUUCAGACAGGUCAGAACUCCUUUGUUUGCUGGGCAGCUGGUCCAUUUUCUCUCCCCAAAAAUACUGAGGGACUGAUCUGAGUUUUCUAAAUUAUCACUGAUGGAGAAACAAGACCUCAGCAGCAGUGGGGCUAAGGUAGGAGGCUUCUAGAUGUAACUCUCACGCGUCGGGAACUUAGUUGAGAAGAACUGGAGUGAUGCUCAGGAAAAUAAAAAUCAGUGAUC